AUUGAACGCUAGCGGGAUGCCUUACACAUGCAAGUCGAACGGAGUGGCGAACGGGUGAGUAAUAUAUCGGAACGUGCCCCGUAGCGGGGGAUAACUACGCGAAAGCGUAGCUAAUACCGCAUAACAUUGGCACGGCUGAUAUCGGAUUAGCUAGUUGGUGGGGUAACGGCCCACCAAGGCGACGAUCCGUAGCUGGUUUGAGAGGACGACCAGCCACACUGGGACUGAGACACGGCCCAGACUCCUACGGGAGGCAGCAGUGGGGAAUUUUGGACAAGGGGGGAAACCCUGAUCCAGCCAUCCCGCGUGUGCGAUGAAGGCCUUCGGGUUGUAAAGCACUUUUGGCAGGAAAGCGGUACCUGCAGAAUAAGCACCGGCUAACUACGUGCCAGCAGCCGCGGUAAUUC
rnacentral:rRNA from 1 species